GAAAAUGACUUUAUAGCUGGGGGUUCACCACAACAUGAGGAACUGUAUUAAGGAGUUGCAGCUUUAGGAAGGCUGAGAACCACUGCUGUAAUGGAUGGCACUGGACAUACAGAGGAUAUUGCUUAGCCAGCAUGGUGGUAGGGUGUGAUAGGAAGCCAGACGUGGGGUUUCAGUUAUCCAACAACUCACCUUGUGUCUUGUCCUUGCAGGUUUAGUCUCCACUGCCAGCUGCCAUGGGCAAGCAGAACAGCAAGCUGCAGGACCUGCGGAAACACAGGGAGUUCACCGACCAUGAGCUUCAGGAGUGGUAGAAGGGCUUCCUCAAUGACUGUCCCACUGGCCACUUGACCGUGAAAAAUUUCAAGAUCUAGGCCAACUUCUUCCCCUACAGAGACACCUCCAAGUUCACUGAACAUGUCUUCCACAUGUUUGACACCAACAAUGACAGCACCAUCGACUUCUGUGUGUUCAUCAUUGCUCUUAGCAUGACCUCUCAGGAGAAGCUGGAACAGAAGCUCAAGUGGGCCUUCAGCAUGUCCGACCUAGACAGCAAUGGCCACAUCAGCUGCAGUGAAAUUCUGGAGAUAGUGCAGGUACCUGCACUUGACAGGGCCUGGAGCAUGGGGAGUGCAGGGAUCCAGGACCCCCAUCCCCGGCCCCAUACACCAGGUCAUUCCUCUGCCCACUUGCUACCUGGUGCAAAAUGUCCCUGGAAGAAUUCAACAAAGGUACCAAGAGGGACCCACCCAUUGUCCGGUUGCUGCAGUGUGACCCCAGCAGUGCUAGCCAGUUCUCAGGGGAAUGGGCUUUUACACAGGUGUGAGAAACACAGGCUUGACCUGCCAUCUUCAGCUUUGCUUGCAAAGGUGGAUUUCUUUGUGAUUUCUCCUGCUCUCUAGGGACCUGGGUCCAGGCAGCACAGCACACUCACCUGGUCUGGCUGGAUGCAGCUCCCUCCUCUGUCUGAUCCAAUAGAUGUCCCUCCCCAUCCAGUCCAGGCUGGUUCCUUCCAAGGUCCAAGUGUUCUUGGCUGUAGGGCUCCUUCCAUGCCCACAGAGAGCCUGGAGGCCCUUAAGGACACCAGACAGGUUUUUUCAGUAUCUUACUGAGACCAGCUGAUUUAUUUGAUGAUCCCAGCUGACUUUGUGAGGAUGAAGAAGAUGGAGAGCAGACAGGCAAGCCCUUCCUGUGCAUGGCUCCACCUCCCUUGUUCAUUUGCUCUGACCAAAGCUGCUUGCAUGUAUAUACCGUGGUAUCCUUACUUUUAAUAUAUAAGUUUUGUAUAAAGUGAGAAGGUUCAGCCCCUGUAUUUAAAGCCUCUGACUGCUGUUAAAGCAUGGUACCCUGUGGCCUGUGAUUCUCCCCACCCCCAAGUCUGGCUGUGCUGUGGUAUUUAUGUAUUCAUUUGCCUAAUUACACAGGAGAUACAAGAAUGCCCAAGGCUGUGGACAUCUGCCCUCCGUCCUGCAAAUACAGGUGUUCCUGUGUGCUCCAUCCUUCCUUUCCAUUGACUUGGCAUAUUAAAAUGAUCUAAUAAA
rnacentral:lncRNA from 1 species